AAUACAACUAUGAAGAAACCAGCUCCACCAAAUGCUGAUCUGGUAUAGAGUGAUCAGUAACCUGACAAAACAUACAAUGGAAAAUCUAAGGUAGUCCAAGAAUUUUUUUUUUCGAAGGAGGCAUUGCAUGAUGUUGAGAUACCGAAAUUCCAAAUGGUCAACUAAAUGGCUGCAGAGAGAAGCCUUAAAUAGAAGGGAACCUAACACCUAAAUAUUGUGAAGAAAUAUACCUUGCAAAUCAGUAUGGAAACAGAUUGAAAAUCUUUCAGGAGUAAUACUAUGUGUUAGAUUUCUUAGCUCUGACCCGAUAAUGUAUCAUGGUUUAAUCCCUGUUUGUCAUAGCUUUAAUGGCCUUUUUUUUAAUGCUCUGCUUUGUUUUUUUAUAAUUUUAUUUGUUAAUACCAGCAAUCAGCCCAAUGCAUCUUCUCCAACAUUUCCAGGUUUUCUUUACUGCCUAUCAAAUUCAGAAAAUGAAAACACAGCUCUUAGCAGAGCCAACCGGCCCUAGGAAGAAAAAGUGUUUCAAACAAUUGCUAGUUACAUGAAAUUUUUCAGCAUGUGUAAUAUUCUUCAGCAGUAAUUGAUAGCAUGCAGUGCAUUAAUCAGAAUUUUCAUUGAAUGCAAAUGAAACCCUCAAAGGGACUAUGUGUAAUAUUCACAAAAAUCAAUUAUAUCUGCAUUAUAUUUUUUUUAUGAAGUUAUAAAUUUAACUGCCUAUUCAAUAUGGCAUGUAGUAGGAACAUUAUCUU
rnacentral:misc_RNA from 1 species